rnacentral:lncRNA from 1 species
GAGAAAGAGGUUUAUUAAUAAGAAAUUGGUUCCCACAAUUACGGAGGCUAAGAAGUCCUAAGAUCUGUAGUUGGCAACCUGGAAACCCAGGGAAGUCAACAGUGAUGGUGCAGUUUCAUUCUGAGUCUGAAAUUCCAGCUCAAGAGCCAAUGGUAGAGGUUCCAGUCCAAGAGCCAGCAGGCUCGAGAUCCAAAAAGAGCCGAUGUUUCAGUUUGAGUUUAAAGGCAGGAAGACAGUGAUGUCCCAGCCCAACAACCAGGCAGAGCUUCAGCUCUCUGGAUGAGGGCCAUCUGCUUUACUCAGUACAUUCCUUCAAGUGUUAACCACAUCCAGAAACACCCGCACAGACACCCAAAAUAACAUUUGAUCAGGUAUCUGGGCACCCCUUCCCCCAUCAGGCUGACACAUAAAAUUAACCAGCACAAGGCCCUUGACUACCCAUCCAACCUUUGCCUUCUGUUGACCUCCCUGAAUAACCUCUGUGCCAGGCUGUGCCACCCGGUUACUCCGGGAGCUGUGUCUCCCAGAAUCCUCAUCCCCAUCUGGCCACCAAGGAACACGCAUGAGACAUGGACAGUGGAUGGGAAGCGGCAGCACUGUUUCGAAGGACAUCGUAGUCACAUGCACUGAUGGACGGUCACAAAGAUGCCUAAUGCACUCAGGCAUAUCCUUUGAUUUUUUAGAGCCGCACCUGUGGCAUAUGGAGAUUCCCAGGCUAGGGGUUGAAUUGGAGCUACAGCUGCCGGCCUACACCACAGCCACCGCAAUGUGGGACCCAAGCCGCAUCUGUGACCUACACCACAGCUCACGGCAAUGCUGGAUCCUUGACCCACUGAGCAAGGCCAGGGAUCGAACCCACAUCUUCACGAAUACUAGUUGGGUUCGCUGACCGCUGAGGCAUGACGGGAACUCCCCAGGCAUCUCCGUAUUCCCCUUUGCUCUACAGCCAGCUCUUCCGCCCACCUGCUGGCCCUGCUGACCAACAGCGGCUCCAGCCCCACCAUCCUGCCAUCAGCUUAGCUGCUGAUUCACAGAGGCAGGGGCCACACAGAGGCAACCUAGGCAACUCGACGAGCUCCUGCUCACGGCUCCAUGUUAGUAACUGGACGCUCCUGACUUCUCAGAUCAACUGGCAGGUGACUCCUCCAGUCUUCGCCUCCCCAGCUCCUCCCCCACUGUGGAAGGUCUGAUUCCUACAGUAUGUCCCUUAUAAUGUAACACACAUGGGAGCUCAGCUCCCCUGACCAUCUCUUAACUGAUCGGCCUCUUUAGUCUUGCGGUUUUGAACCUACCGUUUACUUUUAUUUUAUUUAUUUAUUUAUUUAUUUUUAGGGCCGCACCUGUGGCAUAUGGAGGUUCCCAGGUUAGGGGUCCAAUCAGAGCUGUAGCCACCAGCCUACGCCAGAGCCACAGCAAUGCAGGAUCCGAGCCGCAUCUGCAACCUACACCACAGGUCACGGCAACACGGGAUCCUUUACCCACUGAGCAAGGCCAGGGAUCGAGCCCACGACCUCAUGGUUCCUAGUCAGAUUCAUUUCUGCUGCACCACGACGGGAACUCUGAACCUACCGUUUAAAUACUCACUCAGAACUGUCCAGCUCCUGCCCUCAGAGUGGCACAACAUUAUGAUAAAAGAACAAGUUUUUUUUUUGUUUUUGUUUUUGCUUUUCUUUUUUUCUGGCCACACCUGUGGCAUAUGGAAGUUCCCAGGUCAAGGUCGAAUCAGAGCUGCAGCGACCGGCCUAUACCACAGCCACAGCAAUGUGGGAUCCAAGCCACAUCUAGGAUCACAGAUGAUGGCCACAGAAGCCAUCAUCUGUGACCCUAGGCCACACAGCCUACACCACAUACAUUUAUCAGGCAUGCCUCAGGUCAUUAAAUGACAGAUAAAAUGAGGCCUGCAGUCAAGUUCAGCCAGACAAUGAUCAAGACCAAGACCAAGGACAGGAAUUUAAGGGAAAGGUGACAUUCCAAAGUAGGAGAGGACCUCCUGUUGUGGCUCAGGGGGUUAAGAACCUGGCACAGUGUCUGUGAGGAUUCAGGUUCGAUCCCUGGGCUCACUUAGUGGGUUAAGGAUCUGGUGUUGCCGAGAGCUGUAGUGUAGACUGCAGAUGCAGCUUGGAUCUGGCAUUGCUGUGGCUGGGGCAUAGGCCGGCAGCUGGAGCUCCGAUUCAACCCCUAGCCUGGGAACUUCCAUAUGCCACAGGUGCGACCCUAAAAAGGAAAAAACAAUGAAAACAAAACAAAAAAAAAACAACCACCCUUCUGCUGAUCUGAAUAAACACCGUGAGAGCCCUAGUUUGACCUCAUAGGGUCAAAUACUCCCUUACCUGAUACCAAGGAGGGGCUAGUGAUGUAAGUCUGACGUCUCCUUGAAGAAUGAGGAAGAAAGCAGUCUUCUCCCUCUCCCCACUUUUCUUGGAUUAUAUAAAUAUAGCCCACCUAGUCCUCAGGGCAGAGCCGCCUCACCUGCCCACUUGUAUUUCUCACACACCUCCUAUCUUUUUGUUUUUUGUUUUUGCUUUUUUCCGUCUUUUUAGGCCUGCACCCACGGCAUAUGGAGGUUCCAAGGCUAGGGGUGGAAUCAGAGCUACAGCUGCCGGCCUACACCACAGCCACAGCAACUCAGGAUCCGAGCCACGUCUGCAACCUACCCCACAGCUCACAGCAACACCAGAUCCUUAACCCGCUGAGCGAGGCCAGGGAUCAGACCUGCGUCCUCAUGGAUACUAGUCAGAUUCGUUUCUGCCGAGCCACGACGGGAACUCCAAUAAACGUCCUAUCUUAAUCUAUUUCUUGCCUAUCACUUUGUCUCUCGCUGAAUACCUUCUGCACUGAGACGCAAAGAACCUGAGCCUCAGUAAGUCCAGACACCAGGUAAGUGAUUCUAAUUAAAAACCCGGGGGUUCAAUUCCCAAUCUAGGUUUAGGCUGGGUUCGGAGUCAGAGGUGUUUCAGUUUCAGUCAUGUGUUGAGCCCAAAGUCCAGAGAGAAAGCCAGGCAGUCUGGAAAUUCUACAGCUUCUACAUUGCAGGCUUGAGGCCAAUUUUUUUUUGCGGGGGGGAGUUAUUUCUUUGCUCUUAAGGCCUUCAACUGAUUGGAUGAGGCCUGUCCACAUUAUGGAGGGAAAUCUGUUUUACUGAAAGUCAAAUGAUUUUUUUUUUUUUUUUGGUCUUUUUUAGGGCCACACCCAUGGCAUAUGGAAGUUCUCAGGCUACGGGUCAAAUUGGAGCUACAGCUGCUGGCCUACACCACAGCCACAGCAACACAGGAUCCAAGCCCGUGUGACCUACACGACAGCUCAUGGCAAUGCCAGAUCCUUAACCACACUAAGUGGGGCCAGGGAUGGAACUUGCAACCUCAUGGAUACUAGUUGGGUUCGUUACCACUGAGCCACAACAGGAACUCCAAAGUCAACCUAUUUGAAUGUUAGUUAUAUCUAGUAAAUAUCUUCAGGAGUCCCCUGGUGGUUCAGUGGGUUAAGGACCUGGCGUCAUGUUAUGGCUCAGGUCACUGCAGUGGUGUGGGUUCAAUCCUUGGUCCAGGAACUUCUGCACAGCCCCACCCCCCCAAAAAAGAAAGUAUCUUCAUAGCAACAUCUAGACUGUAUGACUGGUGAUCGCUGGAGCUACUCCAAACAUUACAGAUCCCUCCUUCUGAGCACAGGGCAGGAUUGUACCUUCCACACGCCCGUUGGAAGUUACAAAUAGAUGAGAAAGUUUCUUUUGAAGAUAAGCAGAAGGGAUACAUGUCACUUGAAGACAGAGGCCAGUGCUUAAUUCCAUCCCAUGCUCUUUCCCUCUGCCAUGUUGCCUAGCGAUGCCCCAGAUGGUGACGGCUCUGAGGGCCUGAGUUCCAAUGGGAGGACAAUAGAAGCACAGCCCCAGCUGACCCAGGAGGGACACAGUUAAGAGCUGAAUAACUGUGCCCCCCAAAUUCAUUUGCUGAAGCCCUAGCUCCCCAUGUGAUGGUAUUUGGAGGUGAGGCCUUUGGGAGGUGAUCAAGUUUGGAUGAGGGCAUGAAGGGUAAGGCCUUCAUGAAGAAAUUAUUGCCCUUAUAAGAAGAGACAAUAAAGAACUUUCUUGAGCGCUCUCGUGCCAUAGGAGGACAGUGAGAAGGCAGCCAGCUAUAAGCCAGGAAGGGACCUCUCACCAGACACCAAAUCGGCCAACACCUUGGUCUCAGACUUCCCAGACACCGAAACUGUGAGAAAUAAAUUUCUGUUGUUUAAUCCACCCAGCCUAUGAUAUUUUGCGACAGCGAUCUGUGCAGCCUGAGACAGACACAUCACGUGAAUACCAUCUAGAGUGAUGUUUGUUAUGCAACACAACCUCACCUAUCCUGACUGACACACAGUCCAAAGCCAUGGCACUAACCCUUGUGCAGCACUACCUCCUCACGAUCCCUAAUAUUUUAUGAGAAAGAAAUAUUUCCAAACAAACCCUUGUAAGUGUGCUGCAGUCCAAAAUGAAAGAAACCUCAAAAGAACACCAAACAAACAAGAACACAAAGGAACAGCAAACACUAAGCCUGAACACUGGCCCUCUGGGGUAUCCAUAAACCACAGACGAUUUGGUUUCUUCUUCGACUUGCAGCAGUGCCUGCGGGAGUCCGGGCUUGUGCUGAGUGGAGCUGGAGGAGAUGAAACAGCUGGCACCCAGGCUCUAAUGAAGCACGGGGCGCUCAGCAUCCCUGCUGGGCGAAUCCGGCAAAGCCAAUGGCAAUGCAAAGACGCUUUUCCUCCCAACCGCCUUUGCACUCAGAUCUCUGCACAUCCCUCAGAAGGCUGUUUGCUCGUGGACGGGAAAAGGCUAAUUUGACGUGGGGCCAAGUGUCAAGGCCCUCUGCUGGUUUUCUGAGAAGAUUCCCUUUGAAGACCCGCUCCUCUGAACCCCUGCCUUUCCUCAGCACGAUCAGAAAUGCCACCUUCUGUUGGCUCUUUAGAAUUUUUCAAAGUGGCUUCGCUGUGAUUUCCAGGGCUUUCUGAUUGCUGGCAACUGUAAGACGCAUCACAUCAGGGAAGUUUGAUUUCUUGUUUUUCAAACCACUGACUUCUCCCCGUGACCCUUUUUGUCUCCACCAACAACCAACAACCAACAACCAACCACCAGACACAGAGCAUGCUGACAGCAGCGCCUGCCUCAGGAGAUGAUUGGAGAGGCAGAGAAAAAAUCCCCUCACUCCCUAAAUAUCCAUCACAUGCCCACUACAAACUUACCAAGCACCAUGCCAGGCACCAAGGUGCAACAGUGAGUUCAUUUUAUCUUAUUUUAUUUUCAUUUUUGGCUGCCCCGCAGCAUAUGGGGUUCCCGGGCCAGGGAUCAGAUCCAAGCCUCAGUUGCGACCUAAGCUGCAGCUGCAGCAUAACCAGACCCUUAACACACUGUAUCAGGAACUCUAACAAUGAGUUCAUUUUAGAUGUGGUUCCUGCGCUAGUGGGGUUUAGAGGCUGGUGGAGAACACAGGAAAAAAAAAUUAAUAAAGAAAAGACCUACGAUGGUGAAAGUGCUGUUAAGGAAAAAGAAGGAUUCUGAGAACCUAGAAAGAGACGAGUGCGGAUGGCGGGUGCAGGGGAAGGAAACGCCACUGUGAGCUGGGGCCCACCUGAGAAGCAGUCACCAAGAUGGGAUGAGACUGUGACAGGUUUUGGGGGUAAAACACGUUCAGGGAGGGAGCCAGAGAAGAAGGAAGAUCUUCGGACUAUAUGGCAAAUAUAUAUUAUACACUAACAUUACUGUGUAUAUAAAUGUAGAAUAUAUAUAUAUAUACAGUGUGUGUAAUAUACACUGUAUGUGUGUAUAUAUAUAUACACAUUGCACAUACAGUAACACCACUGUGUAUAGAUGUAUCAUAUAUCCAUACACAGUGUAUUAUAUACAUAAAUUAACAAAAAAUCUGAAGUAAAGCCAACAGAUCAGGAGACAAUCAAUGUCAUUGAAAAGAUAGUUGAUUACUUACUCAUGGUUCUCAGGAGGAGGGGACAAGCCACACCAUGGGGGGAGCUGCAAAUGGAGAAGCACCAGGGUGAGUCCAAGGGCAGAGGGAGAGGGAGGAACUGUGGGUGAGGACCACGCAAGGCAGAAGGAGCAGUCAGAAACCUUCGCACAGGCUCUGGAACGCAAAGGCUAUCCCUCAGAGUCUGGGACCUGGUCCUUGGCUCAUCAGGGAAGGUGGAUGGUGACCUGGAGUAUGAGAGCCCCAUAAGGGAGAAGGUUGGUUUGGAUUUGAGAUGAGGGCACCAGCUCUCAGGGGAGUUUUUUCUGAUCUCUAGGUUUUGGCUAAUCCUGGGAGGGGCAGUCCCUCCAGGGUCAGCAAGGCUCUAUAUGUCAAAGCAUCAGAACAAAGAAAUGUGUAUCCUGGAGUUCCCGUCGUGGCUCAGAGGUUAACAAAUCCGACUAGGAAUCAUGAGGUUGCAGGUUCGAUCCCUGGCCUUGUUCAGUGGGUUAAGGAUCCAGAGUUGCUGUGAGCUGUGGUGUAAGUUGCAGACGUGGCUCGGACGCUGUGUUGCUGUGGCUCAGGCGUAGGCCGGCGGCUAUAGCUCCGAUUGGACAGCUAACCUGAGAACCUCCAUAUGC